ensembl:snRNA U6 U6 spliceosomal RNA
GUGCUCGCUUCAGCAGCAUGUAUACUAAAAAUUAGAACGAUGCAGAGAAGUUAGUAUGACCCCUGUACAGCAAUGACACACAAAUUCAUGAGGGAAAAAAAAAAAAA